rnacentral:rRNA from 1 species
GGAAACAGGUGCUAAUACCGUAUAACACUAUUUUCCGCAUGGAAGAAAGUUGAAAGGCGCUUUUGCGUCACUGAUGGAUGGACCCGCGGUGCAUUAGCUAGUUGGUGAGGUAACGGCUCACCAAGGCCACGAUGCAUAGCCGACCUGAGAGGGUGAUCGGCCACACUGGGACUGAGACACGGCCCAGACUCCUACGGGAGGCAGCAGUAGGGAAUCUUCGGCAAUGGACGAAAGUCUGACCGAGCAACGCCGCGUGAGUGAAGAAGGUUUUCGGAUCGUAAAACUCUGUUGUUAGAGAAGAACAAGGAUGAGAGUAGAACGUUCAUCCCUUGACGGUAUCUAACCAGAAAGCCACGGCUAACUACGUGCCAGCAGCCGCGGUAAUACGUAGGUGGCAAGCGUUGUCCGGAUUUAUUGGGCGUAAAGCGAGCGCAGGCGGUUUCUUAAGUCUGAUGUGAAAGCCCCCGGCUCAACCGGGGAGGGUCAUUGGAAACUGGGAGACUUGAGUGCAGAAGAGGAGAGUGGAAUUCCAUGUGUAGCGGUGAAAUGCGUAGAUAUAUGGAGGAACACCAGUGGCGAAGGCGGCUCUCUGGUCUGUAACUGACGCUGAGGCUCGAAAGCGUGGGGAGCGAACAGGAUUAGAUACCCUGGUAGUCCACGCCGUAAACGAU